AACGAACGCUGGCGGCAUGCCUAACACAUGCAAGUCGAACGGGCCUUUCUGUUCUGGUGGCGCCCGGGUGGUUAACAAGUGGUAGCCUGCCGUUCGUUUCGUCAUAACUACCCGGGAGAACUGCUACUAACGCCUGAUGUCUUCGGGCCCAAGAUUUAUCGUCUUUGGAUGGGCCCGCGUUGGAUUAGCUAGUUGGUAGGGUAAGAGCCUACCCAGGCGACGAUCCCUAGCUGGUCUGAGAGGAUGAUCAGCCACACUGGGACUGAGACACGGCCCAGACUCCUACGGGAGGCAGCAGUGGGGAAUAUUGGACAAUGGGCGAAAGCCUGAUCCAGCCAUGCCGCGUGAGUGAUGAAGGCCUUAGGGUUGUAAAGCUCUUUUACCCGGGAUGAUAAUGACAGUACCGGGAGAAUAAGCUCCGGCUAACUCCGUG
rnacentral:rRNA from 1 species